UAUAAGAUCUAUUACUUUCCAUCAAAAUUUCUUUCGUCAUAAUCAAGUUAAGCUGUGCAUGUGUCUAUCUAUCUAGGAGUUGUAUUUCAAAGGUUUAUUUUUACCUAGGUGGAGUAACGUGACUACAUGUGUACCUAGGGAUGUGAGCAGAAGGAUAUGGGAAACUCCUCCUUCAAUUGCUUAAAAUAAUACUGUUAACCUACAUGUUCUCUCUUUCUAGAUUAUAUAAAUUGAGCCAUGAGCAUGCACAUGAUCCAGCUCCAAUCAGGAAGGUGAGGACAAGGCCCUAGCUGUGGGGGGAAGAAAAAGAGAACCUAGAUUCCUGAAAGUCUGCAACGAGUAGAGGAAGACAUUGAUGCUAAGUAUAAAAGUAUGAGAAUAACUGCGUUAAAAGACGGGAACUUAGCUUUGUUGAAAGAUCCUCAUGAUCCAUCUGAAUCACCAGCGAGGUUCAGCCUGAAAUGGAGAAAGCAGAGCAUCUCAUCUAAAAACAGCAUCUCCAAUUUCUUCCUGUUUCAGAAAUUAAAAUCAUAAGGAAAAAAUCUUAUUGUCUUGGCUCAGGUCACUUGACACUUGAACCAAGGAAAGUCUGCAGUCAUAAGCUGGCCUCAACACACUGAAGUAUAUUCAGCAUUAUAAACACACUGAAACACCAAAAAGGCUGAGAUGCACAUAAUUUGAAGAGUGAAAAUGGCUCGAGAGCAUGAAGUCUCAUUAUCUGUAGGCCAUUUUCAGGCUGCUGAUAAAGACAUACCUGAGACUGGGAAGGAAAAGAGAUUUAAUUGGACUUACAGGUCCACAUGGCUGGGGAGGCAUCAGAAUCAUGGUGGGAAGAGAAAGGCACUUUUUCCAAGGCAGAGGCAAGAGAGGAAUGAGGAGGAUGCAAAAGCAGAAAACCCUGAUAAACCCAUGAGAUCUAGUGAGAUUUAUUCACUAUCACAAUAAUAGCACAGGAAAGACCUGCCCCAUGAUUCAAUAACUCCCUCUGGGUCCCUCCCACAACACAUGGGAAUUCUGGGAGAUAAAAUUCAGAUUGAGAUUUGGGUGAAGACACAUCAGAACCAUAUCAUUCCUCCCCUGGGCUCUCCAAAUCUCAUGUCCUCACAUUUCAAAACCAAUCAUGCCUUCUCAACAGUCCCCCAAAGUUUUAACUAAUUUCAGCAUUAAUCCAAAAGUCCACAGUACAAAGUCUCAUCUGAGACGAGGCAAGUCCCUUCUGCCUAUGAGCCUGUAAAAUCAAAAGCAAGCUAGUUACUUCCUGGAUACGAUGGGGAUUCAGGUAUUUGGUAAAUACAGCAGUUCCAAAUGGGUGAAAUUGGCCAAAAUAAAGGGGUUACAAGGCCCAUGCAAGUCUGAAAUCCAGUGGGUCAGUCAAAUUUUAAAGCUCCAAAAUGAUCUCCUUUGACUCCAGAUUUCACAUCCAGAUCUCACUAAUGCAGGAGGUGCGUUCCCAUGGUCUUGGGCAUCUUUGCCCCUAUGGCUUUGCAGGGUACAGCCUCCUUCCUGGCUCCUUUCACAGGCUGGCAUUGAAUGUCUGUGGCUUUUCCAGGUGCACAGUACAAGCUGUCAGUUGAUUUCAGUUGAUCCACCAUUGUGGAGUCUGGAGGAUGGUGGCCCUCUUCUCACAGCUCCACUAGGCAGCGCCCCAGAAGGGACUCUGUGUAGGGGCUCCAACCCCACAUAUCCCUUCCACACUGUCCUAGCAGAGGUUCUCCAUGAGGGCCCCACCCCUGCAGCAAACCUUUGCUUGGGCAUCCAGGCAUUUCCAUACAUCAUCUGAAAUCUAGGCAGAGGUUCUCUAACUUCAAUUCUAGACUUCUGUGCACCUGCUGGCUCAACUCCAUGUGGAACCUGCCAAGGCUUGGGGCUUUCACCCUCUGAAGUCACAGCCUGAGCUCUAUGUUGGCCCCUUUCAGCCAUGGCUGUGACACAGGGCAACAAGUCCUUACCCUGCACACAGCACGGGGAUCCUGGGCCUGGCCCAAGAAACCACUCUGUCCUCCUGAGCCUCUGGGCCUGUGAUGGGAGGGGCUGCCAUGAAGGUCUCUGACAUGGCCUGGAGACAUAUUCCCCAUGUUCAUUGGGAUUAACAUUAGGCUCCUUGCUACUUAUGUGAAUUUCUGCAAUUGGCUUGAAUUUCUCCCCCUGAAAAUAGGUUUUUCUUUUCUAUCACAUAGUCAGGCUGCAAAUUUCCCAAACUUUUAUGCUCUGUUUCCAUUUAAAAAUAGAAUGCCUCUAACAGCACCCAAGUCACCUCUUGAAUGCUUUGCUGCUUAGAAAUUUCUUCUGCCAGAUACCCUAAAUCAUCUCUCUCAAGUUCAAAGCUCCACAAAUCUCUAGGGCCACCAGUAUCUUUGCUAAAACGUAACAAGAGUCACCUUUGCUCCAGUUCCCAACAAGUUCUUUAUCUUCAUCUGAGACCACCUUAGCCUGGAGCUUACUGUUCAUAUCACUAUCAGCAUUUUUGUCAGAGCCAUUCAACAAGUCUCUAGGAGGUUCAGACUUUCUCACAUUUUCCUGUCUGCUUCUGAGCCCUCCAAACUGUUCCAACCUCUGUCCGUUACCCAGUUCUAAAGUUGCUUCCACAUUUUCGGGUAUCUUUUCAGCAAUGCCCCACUCUACUGGUACCAAUUUACUGUAUUAGUCCAUUUUUGUGCUGCUGAUAAAGACAGAUCUGAGACCGGGAAGAAAAAGAGCUUUAGUUGGACUUACAGUUCCACAUAGCUGCAGAAGCCUCAGAAUCAUGGUGGGAGAUGAAAGGCACUUCUUACAUGAUGGUGGCAAGAAAAGAAUGAGGAAAAAGCCAAAGUGGAAACGCCUGAUAAACCCAUCAGAUCUCAUGAGACUUGUUCACUCAUAUUCUCAUGAGAAUAGCAUGAGAAAGACCAGCCCCCAUGAUUCAAUUGCCUCCCCUGGGUCCCUCCUGCAGCACAUGGGAAUUCUGGGAGAUACAAUUCAAAUCGAGAUUUGCGUGGGGGCACAGCCAAACCAUAUCAUCCCCUAAAUAAUUAAAUAGUCUCAUUAAAUCCAUUGUGUCAUUUAUAACUCUUUGGUUGCAACAUAAUCUUAUUAUUUACAAAGAGAAUAAAUAAUAAAAGAGACUUAUUAUUUAUAAAGAGAAUUUGCUGCACGUUAGUGGAAUGCAUGCAAUCAAAUGGAAUGAUGAAGAACUAGGCCCAGAAAAGUAAGGAAUCAGCAGUUAUGGCAAUGGAAACUACUCAGAAGCAUCAUUUGGCCCCCUCUGCUAGAAUGAACAAACUCCGACUGUUUGUUUUAUUCUUUCUUCCCUUUAGGAUACAAAAUUUCUUGUAUUGUCCCACCCCUGCAGGGUCUGCCAUUCUUGCCCCCCACCCUUUAAAGGUGUCAAUGUCAAAACACACCACACUGUCGUAACAGAAUCACAAGUAAUUAAAUGGUUUAUUAAUAAGGAAUAUGUGAGCAAAGAGAGAUACUGGCUGAGGGGCCCACAGAUAGCAAUUGGGAGAAGGAAAGAGAAAGAAUAUGGUCCUGUGGCAGCUGGAACAAUGUUGAAUAAUAUUAAAUAAUGUUGGGUGCAGACUAAUUGUGGCUGGUCUCUCCUGUUGCAUGGGUGGAAGGUCAGAGGGUCAGGGCAAGUUGCAUUGCAUGAGAUUAGUGAGACCUAAUUAGAAAAAAGCAGGAUGGGGCAUCUGACAGUGUCCAUCAAGUUAACUGAAAACAGUUUAACCAAAUGCAGUUUUGUUGCAAGUGACGUAUUGCUUCAGAUGUUAUUUCUCUAAAGCUCCCACUGAAGACUGAGAAAGACUGAAGGAUCACACUUUGGUAAUGUGACCACCUUCUGUCUAUGGCAGUGACUUUCACUUUGUCUUACUGUUCCACCACGACUCCACACACUGGAAGAUGACUGCUCCUUAAAAGGAAAGGAAACAAGUACUAGGUAGCCAGAUGAUCAGAAGGAGCAACUACCAGCCCUGAGAGUGUAAUGACUGCCAUUCUUUGAAAUCUUUUGAAAAGUUUUCUUUCUUCUGCUACUUUACAACAAAAGCAAGAAAUUUGAUAAGAAAUAUUUUUGGGGGGUGGAGAAAUGUUAUAUUGAAAGACACACAGAAACAAUAAAGAAGAGAGGGGGAGAGAGAAUUUCAAAAAGUAUACAGGUGAAAACAAGGAUAGUAUUCAGAUUUUAAAUCCUUCUCUUUGAAAUCUGUGCUAUGCACAAACUUGUGCAUAUUACUAAUCCUCAAAACCGCCUCUAUGUUUGUUACAGAACAUCAUGAGAUAUAGCAACCUUCCAAAGAAUUCUUGAGGUAAAAUUUUCACCAUA
rnacentral:lncRNA from 1 species